rnacentral:rRNA from 1 species
GACGAACGCUGGCGGCGUGCUUAACACAUGCAAGUCGAACGAUGAAGCUGGAGCUUGCUCCGGUGGAUUAGUGGCGAACGGGUGAGUAACACGUGAGCAAUCUGCCCUCGACUCUGGGAUAACUGCGGGAAACUGUAGCUAAUACCGGAUACGAGGCUCGAAGGCAUCUUCGGGUCUGGAAAGAAUUUCGGUCAAGGAUGAGCUCGCGGCCUAUCAGCUUGUUGGUGAGGUAAUGGCUCACCAAGGCGACGACGGGUAGCCGGCCUGAGAGGGUGGCCGGCCACACUGGGACUGAGACACGGCCCAGACUCCUACGGGAGGCAGCAGUGGGGAAUAUUGCACAAUGGGCGAAAGCCUGAUGCAGCAACGCCGCGUGAGGGAUGAAGGCCUUCGGGUUGUAAACCUCUUUUAGCAGGGAAGAAGCGAAAGUGACGGUACCUGCAGAAAAAGCACCGGCUAACUACGUGCCAGCCGCCGCAGUAA